GACAGAGGAUGCAAGCGUUAUCCGGAAUGAUUGGGCGUAAAGCGUCUGUAGGGGGCUUCUUAAGUCCGCUGUCAAAUCCCAGGGCUUAACCCUGGCCAGGCGGUGGAGACUACUAAGCUUGAGUACGGUAGGGGCAGAGGGAAUUUUCGGUGGAGCGGUGAAAUGCGUAGAGAUAGGAAAGAACACCAAGAGCGAAGGCACUCUGCUGGGCCGACACUGACACUGAGAGACGAGAGCUAGGGGAGCGAAUGGG
rnacentral:rRNA from 1 species